rnacentral:rRNA from 1 species
UACGGAGGAUGCGAGCGUUAUCCGGAUUUAUUGGGUUUAAAGGGUGCGUAGGCGGAAUAUCAAGUCAGCGGUAAAAAUUCGGGGCUCAACCCCGUCGUGCCGUUGAAACUGAUGUUCUUGAGUGGGCGAGAAGUAUGCGGAAUGCGUGGUGUAGCGGUGAAAUGCAUAGAUAUCACGCGGAACUCCGAUUGCGAAGGCAGCAUACCGGCGCCCAACUGACGCUGAAGCACGAAAGCGUGGGUAUCGAACAGG